GGAGAGGUGGCUCAGUGGUUAAGAGCACUGGCUGCUCUUCCAGAGGUCCUGAGUUCAAUUCUCAGCAACCACA
rnacentral:tRNA from 1 species